rfam:Synechococcus sp. CC9311, complete genome.
GGGUUGAAUUAAGUCUCGAUACUGUAGGGGCUCCGACCCAUAUAGGGGUCGAUCCUGUG